rnacentral:rRNA from 1 species
CCUACGGGGGGCAGCAGUGAGGAAUAUUGGUCAAUGGGCGAGAGCCUGAACCAGCCAAGUAGCGUGCAGGAUGACGGCCUAUGGGUUGUAAACUGCUUUUAUGCGGGGAUAGGUACCGCAUGAAUAAGGACCGGCUAAUUCCGUGCCAGCAGCCGCGGUAAUACGGAAGGUCCGGGCGUUAUCCGGAUUUAUUGGGUUUAAAGGGAGCGUAGGCCGCUUUGUAAGCGUGUUGUGAAAUUUGCCGGCUCAACCGGUAACUUGCAGCGCGAACUGCAGAGCUUGAGUGUGCGCAACGUUGGCGGAAUUCGUCGUGUAGCGGUGAAAUGCUUAGAUAUGACGAAGAACUCCGAUUGCGAAGGCAGCUGACGGGAGCACACUGACGCUGAAGCUCGAAAGUGCGGGUAUCGAACAGGAUUAGAUACCCUUGUAGUC